rnacentral:lncRNA from 1 species
UAAAUAAUAUUUUUUUAUAUAUCCGCAUUAUCUUGUUAAUGGAUUAACACAUUUGCUGAAUUUGUAAUUUAUAUACGUAUAGCUGAAACUGGUCCAUAAAAGAAGCUUGAGUGGGUCGUUAUUGUGUAGCCAUAUAUGUACAAAGACGCGAUCACCUCUCGAACCACCUGGGAACCUCUUCGGAAAAAGAACAGUUCUGAUAUAAAAAAUUUAAAAUAAUAAGAUAUCAAAA